AUAAUACCCCCUCCGUCCGGAAAUAUUUGUCGGAGAAAUGGUUGAACAUGGAUGUAUCUAGAACUACAAUACGUCUGGAUACAUCCAUUUCUUCGACAAGUAUUUCCGGGCGGAGCCAGUAGAUU
rfam:Triticum urartu cultivar G1812 contig554776, whole genome shotgun sequence.